rnacentral:lncRNA from 1 species
ACGUUUUUAUGAGCAACCAUUCGUAACGAACGUACUUGCCACAAAGCAUAAUUUCCAUGACACCAAGCUGAUUCACAGGCAGUUUUCUUUCUGCACAACAACACGGCUGAAGGACGGCUUGGUGGAGGCAGACUCCGUUUCCUAAGGGCUUAUCCCAAGUUAGAGUUCAGAGGGAAGGGAAUAGAACGCGACUUGUCCACCAAACAAAAUGUCUUGACAGAUUGACUGUGAUGUGAUAUGCCUGGGCCCCUGAUUCACCCAGUCCCCUGAACUGAAUCUCUAUAAAAACGAAGUUCAGCCAUGAGAGAGAAAGAAAUUCUUUCAUUUGCAGCCAUGGGAUGAACCUGAGGACAGCAGUUUCGUGAAGUCAUCCUGACCUGCUAAAAUAAAUUGUGCAAUGUGCUCAUGGCUACAUGGGAUCUAAAGAUGGCAGAUUCAUCAAAACAGAAGGGAUGGUGGAAGCAGGGCUAAGAGAUUUGGAGAGAUGUCUGUGAGAGGAGAGAGAAGAAAAAGUUCAAGAGAUUCGUGGUACACAAUACAGACAAUGGCGCAUUGUACCUAAGAUUACUGAGUGUAGGCCCACAGUCCUCUCUCCACAGAAAUCAGUGCAUGCUGUGAGAGGAAUUAAGCCAUUGGACACAUGCAAGUGUUUCAAAAUACCAUGUGUAUAAAUUCUGUCAACUAAAACAUUCUAUAAGAA